rnacentral:rRNA from 1 species
UACCAGCACCCCGAGUGGUCGGGACGUUUAUUGGGCCUAAAGCAUCCGUAGCCGGUUCUACAAGUCUUCCGUUAAAUCCACCUGCUCAACAGAUGGGCUGCGGAAGAUACUAUGGAGCUAGGAGGCGGGAGAGGCAAGCGGUACUCGAUGGGUAGGGGUAAAAUCCGUUGAUCCAUUGAAGAACACCAGUGGCGAAGGCGGCUUGCCAGAACGCGCUCGACGGUGAGGGAUGAAAGCUGGGGGAGCAAACCGG